AUUGAACGCUGGCGGCAGGCCUAACACAUGCAAGUCGAGCGGAUGAAGGGAGCUUGCUCCUGGAUUCAGCGGCGGACGGGUGAGUAAUGCCUAGGAAUCUGCCUGGUAGUGGGGGAUAACGUCCGGAAACGGGCGCUAAUACCGCAUACGUCCUGAGGGAGAAAGUGGGGGAUCUUCGGACCUCACGCUAUCAGAUGAGCCUAGGUCGGAUUAGCUAGUUGGUGGGGUAAAGGCCUACCAAGGCGACGAUCCGUAACUGGUCUGAGAGGAUGAUCAGUCACACUGGAACUGAGACACGGUCCAGACUCCUACGGGAGGCAGCAGUGGGGAAUAUUGGACAAAGGGCGAAAGCCUGAUCCAGCCAUGCCGCGUGUGUGAAGAAGGUCUUCGGAUUGUAAAGCACUUUAAGUUGGGAGGAAGGGCAGUAAGUUAAUACCUUACUGUUUUGACGUUACCAACAGAAUAAGCACCGGCUAACUUCGUG
rnacentral:rRNA from 1 species